CCUACGGGGGGCUGCAGUGGGGGAUAUUGGACAAUGGGGGGAACCCUGAUCCAGCGACGCCGCGUGAGUGAAGAAGUAUCUCGGUAUGUAAAGCUCUAUCAGCAGGGAAGAAGAAAUGACGGUACCUGAGUAAGAAGCCCCGGCUAACUACGUGCCAGCAGCCGCGGUAAUACGUAGGGGGCAAGCGUUAUCCGGAAUUACUGGGUGUAAAGGGAGCGUAGACGGUGAUGUAAGUCUGGAGUGAAAGGCGGGGGCCCAACCCCCGGACUGCUCUGGAAACUAUGUGACUGGAGUGCAGGAGAGGUGGGCGGAAUGCGUGGUGUAGCGGUGAAAUGCUUAGAUAUUAGGAGGAACCCCGGUGGCGAAGGCGGCUCGCUAGGCUGUGACUGACGUUGAGGCACGAAAGCGUGGGGAGCAAACAGGAUUAGAUACCCGGGUAGUC
rnacentral:rRNA from 1 species